CCGGCGGACAGCGAGCGGCAGGAUGCCAGGAUUGGCGGCGGCCUCCAGGACAGCCGGGUGUGCAGAGGCCAGUGGAGGAGAUGACAUAGCCCAAGGGCGUCCCGGUGAGUCUGCCUCCGGUGUUACACCCGGGCGGCAAAGGGACAGGCAGGUGGAUGUGGGGGACGGGCUGACAGCUCCCCUGGGGGCAGAGGGGGCUCCUGCAAGUAAGGGCACAGUGGGUACGGCCGGGGUUAGGGCCAGGCAUGACGGCAGGGGGACAGCCGACCGGGUUUCCCAGCUAGGACGUCAGAGGCAGGCCAAGGCAGCAGCAGCAGUGGAUUCUGGCUGCCUGGGACAGCGCAGGGACUCCCUUACUGACGGGUUGGUGUCACGAGGGGUCCUGUCUCAAUGGUCUGAUGCGGAUUCGGACGCUGGGGUUAGGAGGAUACGGGGGGACCGCAGGUGCACCUCCCAGGGGCGCCCAGGCGUUAU